GAUGAACGCUGGCGGCGUGCCUAAUACAUGCAAGUCGAGCGAACGGACGAGAAGCUUGCUUCUCUGAUGUUAGCGGCGGACGGGUGAGUAACACAUGGAUAACCUACCUAUAAGACUGGGAUAACUUCGGGAAACCGGAGCUAAUACCGGAUAAUAUUUUGAACCGCAUGGUUCAAAAGUGAAAGACGGUCUUGCUGUCGCUUAUAGAUGGAUCCGCGCUGCAUUAGCUAGUUGGUAAGGUAACGGCUUACCAAGGCAACGAUGCAUAGCCGACCUGAGAGGGUGAUCGGCCACACUGGAACUGAGACACGGUCCAGACUCCUACGGGAGGCAGCAGUAGGGAAUCUUCCGCAAUGGGCGAAAGCCUGACGGAGCAACGCCGCGUGAGUGAUGAAGGUCUUCGGAUCGUAAAACUCUGUCAUUAGGGAAGAACAUAUGUGUAAGUAACUGUGCACAUCUUGACGGUACCUAAUCAGAAAGCCACGGCUAACUACGUG
rnacentral:rRNA from 1 species